CCUACGGGAGGCAGCAGUGAGGAAUAUUGGUCAAUGGCCGCGAGCCUGAACCAGCCAAGUCGCGUGAGGGAUGACGGUCCUAUGGAUUGUAAACCUCUUUUGUCAGGGAGCAAAGGGCGCCACGUGUGGCGUUUUGCGAGUACCCGAAGAAAAAGCAUCGGCUAACUCCGUGCCAGCAGCCGCGGUAAUACGGAGGAUGCGAGCGUUAUCCGGAUUUAUUGGGUUUAAAGGGUGCGCAGGCGGAAUGUCAAGUCAGCGGUAAAAUUUCGGGGCUCAACCUCGUCGUGCCGUUGAAACUGGCGUUCUUGAGUGAGCGAGAAGUAUGCGGAAUGCGUGGUGUAGCGGUGAAAUGCAUAGAUAUCACGCAGAACUCCGAUUGCGAAGGCAGCAUACCGGCGCUCAACUGACGCUCAUGCACGAAAGCGUGGGUAUCGAACAGGAUUAGAUACCCCAGUAGUC
rnacentral:rRNA from 1 species